rnacentral:rRNA from 1 species
UUACUAGAGUAGCACUCGCAUAUCAAUAAGCGGAGGAAAAGAAACUAACAAGGAUUCCCCUAGUAACGGCGAGUGAAGCGGGAAGAGCUCAAAUUUGAAAUCUUAAAGGGUUCCCCUUUACGAAUUGUAGUUUAAAGAAGUGUUUUCUGUUGAGGUUUUGGUAAAAGUUCUUUGGAAUAGGACAUCAUAGAGGGUGAGAAUCCCGUAUUUGACCUUUACUUUCAACUUUGUGAUACACUUUCAAAGAGUCGGAUUGUUUGGGAAUGCAGUCCAAAAUGGGUGGUAAAUUUCAUCUAAAGCUAAAUAUUGGCGAGAGACCGAUAGCGAACAAGUACCGUGAGGGAAAGAUGAAAAGAACUUUGAAAAGAGAGUUAAACAGUACGUGAAAUUGUCAAAAGGGAAGCGUUUGACACCAGUGUUGUUUUUCUGAAAAUCAAUUAAAGAACUGUUUAUGCUAAGUUGUUUAGACUUUAUCAGCUAACUGUUUAGUUUUGAGCUUUUCUUUAAUGCACUUUUCAGAUUAACAAGUCAACAGCAAUUUCUUUUGCUGUAAAAAAGCUUGAGGAAGGUGGCUUGAGAUUCGUCUUAAGUGUUUAUAGCCUCUUGCCUAUGCAGUCGGAGAGAUUGAGGUCUGCAGCGUAGAUCCUUCGGGGCUAAAUGCAUUUGUGCUAAGUUAUAGCAUUUUAUAGACAACUUGUUGACUAUGAUUUGUCUUGUAGCUUACUCGCUUAUGUUAUUUUACCUACGCUUAGGAUGUUGAUAUCGCGCUCUCACUG